CAGCAGCCGCGGGAAUACGAAGGGGGCUAGCGUUGUUAGGAUUUACUGGGCGUAAAGCGCACGUAGGCGGACUUUUAAGUCAGGGGUGAAAUCCCGGGGCUCAACCCCGGAACUGCCUUUGAUACUGGAAGUCUUGAGUAUGGUAGAGGUGAGUGGAAUUCCGAGUGUAGAGGUGAAAUUCGUAGAUAUUCGGAGGAACACCAGUGGCGAAGGCGGCUCACUGGACCAUUACUGACGCUGAGGUGCGAAAGCGUGGGGAGCAAACAGGAUUAGAUACCCCAGUAGUCCCUGUCUCUUAUAC
rnacentral:rRNA from 1 species